CUCCAGCACUCUUUGUUCUUUGUGCAGGAAAACAGAAUUGCCGAGAGACAUCAGCUGCGCCGUGCUUAUCGCAGCGCUCGUGGCUGGGCUCUCCUCAUCCGCUGCUUUUGUAGCACAUCGCUUUGUACCAUUUUCCUGCAGUUUUGUCAGCCAGAAACAUUGCAUACAGGACCAUUGAAUAAUUGAGCUAUUGAAGAAUCAUAGCCAAACUCCAUCAUCAGACUACCCUCAAAGUUGGCUUUUGACCACUGAAUGAAAGUUCUGUGGUAAAAGAGUUGUUCUGCUCAUGGGGACGAACUUGGCACUGUGAAUGCGCAAAGGGCAAAGUACCAGUGUCUGAAAACCUGUAUACUGGGACCAGCUGAAAGUGGGAGGGGAAGCACAAGUUCCUCCUGAUGGCCUCUCUCCUGAGAAAAGACCCAUGAGGAACUAUCUCCCAGGAAAGCAUUUGAGAAGUGCCAUUACAAACCCACUGGAAACAACGAAAAAAAUUCCACUCUGUCUGAAGAGGCCAAGAUUUCUUGCCAAGCAGCAAAACACUUUAAGCUCUUCAACAGCAACACAGCACUGUCUGUGGGAUGCAAGGCUGCUGCUGUUGUAGAAACCACACAUCUACACCAUGCAGUGGAGCCUCUUGCAGGACCUUCAAACCGAUGGCGUCCAUCCUGGCUCCAAGGAGAACAGGCAUCAUCAUGCAGGGCUGUGUGCAAAUUAAUGAGGUGCUCUGGACUGCUUCUGGUUGGGAUAACAGCAUCAGGGUCACAUCUCCAAGGAUUUUGACCUGCUGGGUCAGCCAGAAACCUGUCAAUAGAUGACGCUUGUUUUUGCCAAUGCUGCUGUCUGGGAGGCAAUGGACUCCAGCAGAAUCAGGAUCACAACUACAAGCUACUGAACUUGCUGUUCCCAUGUUCUGCCUCUGUUUAGCAUCAGAACAGGCCUGAGGCAUACUAAUUUAUUAUUUUUUUUAGUGUGAAAAUAUAGCAGAAAUGUUAUGUUUGGACUUCAGUGAAGCGGAGUCCCAGUCAGCAAAUUCUCUGGGUGGUUUGCCUUGCCCCGGCUCUUUGUCCUUCCCAUACCAGUCUGCCCAUGCACAUGGUUGUUGCUGCAUUGUUCAUUGCACACACUCUGCCUGGUAGCUGACUCCAGCAUUUGGGCACACUUGUAAAACAAUAGAAGGUUUCUUCCACACAUGAGAAGUUUGUCAUUGUUGUUUUUUGUUUGUUUGUUUAUGUGUUUUCCUGUGCUGUUUGUUAAUAACAAUUUACAAGUCCCUUUGUACCUUCUGAUUAUAACCUAACCUGUGCUAUUCAGAUUUUGUGGAUUAAUUCAUUUUUCUGUAUUGCUUUUCCCUUAAACUUUAUAGGCAUGUAUAUUCAUGAAAAGAACAGAGGGGAAAAAAAUCCCAGAAAUUACCACAAGAAAAACCCCUGCUAAAAGCAAUAAGUUUGCUGACAGAUGGUAGAAUCAGUUGAAAAUCGAGUACCAUAUUUACUAAGUCUAACCCAUUUAGUAAGCCAGAAAAGUGUUAUCUAAUUCUAUCCCCUGUGUGUUUGUGUUUUGGAAUAAACA